UUAUUAAAGAAGUUAAUACAACGUGAUAUCGAAGUCACCGAGGGACAUAACGUUAUAGAAGGACAAGAUUGAACAACAUAAUGCAGGCUAACAGCAUUAGACCAAUGAAGGCAAGUCAUAUGAAAGCAUGGCUCAGUUACAAGAUGUUUUCAUGGAAAGAUGAGAGAUCAACUGAAGAAUGCUAUG